AGUGAACGCUGGCGGUAGGCCUAACACAUGCAAGUCGAACGGCAGCACUGGAGAGCUUGCUCUCUGGGUGGCGAGUGGCGGACGGGUGAGGAAUACAUCGGAAUCUACUCUGUCGUGGGGGAUAACGUAGGGAAACUUACGCUAAUACCGCAUACGACCUACGGGUGAAAGCAGGGGACCUUCGGGCCUUGCGCGAUUAAAUGAGCCGAUGUCGGAUUAGCUAGUUGGCGGGGUAAAGGCCCACCAAGGCGACGAUCCGUAGCUGGUCUGAGAGGAUGAUCAGCCACACUGGAACUGUGGCACGGUCCAGGCUCCUACGGGAGGCAGCAGUGGGGAAUAUUGGAAAAGGGGCGCAAGCCUGAUCCAGCCAUACCGCAUGGGUGAAGAAGGCCUUCGGGUUGUAAAGCCCUUUUGUUGGGAAAGAAAUCCAGCUGGCUAAUACCCGGUUGGGAUGACGGUACCCAAAGAAUAAGCACCGGCUAACUUCGUGCCAGCAGCCCGCCGUAA
rnacentral:rRNA from 1 species